rnacentral:lncRNA from 1 species
UUUAUCUAAUGAAUACUGACCUCCGUUGUUUUGCAGACUAGUGAGUCUGUAUCAUAAGUAUUAUCACAACCAUUAAUAUUAAAGGGAAUACUAAAGAUCCAGAGAAGCUGGCUUCUGCAUUCACUCAAUUAUUCUUAAUGGUAGUAUACUUUAGGUACAGUAAAUAAUAGGUGGUCAUUUUCAAGAAAAUGUACUUUAUUGUGUGAUGUUCCCAUGUUAUAAGAUGCCUAAGGCUAAUAAUACAAUGUGGUGUGCAGGAAUUAUUUUGGUUGUUUAUA